AUUGAACGCUGGCGGCAUGCCUUACACAUGCAAGUCGAACGGUAACGGGCCUUCGGGUGCCGACGAGUGGCGAACGGGUGAGUAAUGCAUCGGAACGUACCUUUCAGUGGGGGAUAACGUAGCGAAAGUUACGCUAAUACCGCAUAUUCUGUGAGCAGGAAAGCAGGGGAUCGCAAGACCUUGCGCUGAUUGAGCGGCCGAUGUCAGAUUAGCUAGUUGGUGAGGUAAAGGCUCACCAAGGCGACGAUCUGUAGCGGGUCUGAGAGGAUGAUCCGCCACACUGGAACUGAGACACGGUCCAGACUCCUACGGGAGGCAGCAGUGGGAAUUUUGGACAAUGGGGGCAACCCUGAUCCAGCCAUGCCGCGUGAGUGAAGAAGGCCUUCGGGUUGUAAAGCUCUGUGUAAGGGACGAAUGUCGCGAUCAAUAAUACGGAUUGCGAAUGACGGUACUUACCAGCAAGCCCGGCUAACUACGUGCCAG
rnacentral:rRNA from 1 species